AAAUUUGAAAUCUGGCUGGUUUACUAGUCCGAGUUGUAAUUUAAAGAAGCGUUUUCGGUGGCAGCCUGGGUAUAAAUCCUUUGGAAUAGGGUAUCAUAGAGGGUGAGAAUCCCGUCUUUGACCUAGUGCAUGCUACUAUGUGAUACGUUUUCAAAGAGUCGAGUUGUUUGGGAAUGCAGCUCAAAAUGGGUGGUAAAUUUCAUCUAAAGCUAAAUAUUGGCGAGAGACCGAUAGCGAACAAGUACCGUGAGGGAAAGAUGAAAAGAACUUUGAAAAGAGAGUUAAACAGUGCGUGAAAUUGUUGAAAGGGAAACGUUUGACACCAGUCAUGUGGGUGGAAAAUCAGUCUUUUGCAUUGGGGAGUUGUAAAGGUUCGGACCGCAAGGCCGGCUUUUGCUUCAUCUUUGGUGUAAGGGAUGCACUUUUUCAUCUACAGGUCAACAUCAGUUUCUUUUGCUGGACAAAACUCCGAGAGAAGGUAGCAGCUUAGGCU
rnacentral:rRNA from 1 species